AUGUCUGAGUCAGAGCCACAGCUCAGCAGGAAGUGAGAGUGGUGUUUGGCAGAUGCGGUGGUAAAGAUAGGUACUGGUUUGGAAUUAGGAAUUGUUUUCUCACCUAAGCUUCUUUAAAAGAAGAAAGUAGCCAUUAGCCUUUAGUUUGGCAUGGAAUUAGGAAUGGCCUACUCCAGCCAUCGGCAUAGUUUCCAGGCUCCAUGUCUUCUAUAUGGAACGUGUGUCAAAGAACAGGAGCAGUUACUCACACCUGAGGACCUCCCACUGGCAGGCAAAGAGACAUCAUGUGUAUUCUUCAGGAAUACCGAAGUUCCCUAG
rnacentral:lncRNA from 1 species